UCCCUUGUAGCUCAGCUGGUAAAGAAUCUGUCUGCAAUGCAGGAGACCUGGGUUCAAUCCCUGGGUAGGGAA
rfam:Ovis aries breed Texel chromosome 7, whole genome shotgun sequence.